AUGCGCAUUUGGCCUCGCGGGGAGCAGAGAAAAGGCACAAAAUCGGGUGAUGGUGGGCAUGGGUCUGCUUGCUGGCUCCACCAUCUUUCUUCAUACCUUCAUUUGGGGACUUGCGUGUUUGCUGGCAAGUGUGGCAUUGGGCCCAAUGGUGUUGCCAUUGAUUCAAAAGACACUAAAGGGUGGUUCAGUUUUACUGCCACAUCUCCCAUAAAUCAAUCUCCAAAUAUUCGAGGCAGCGGUAUUUCAACUGACAAUGAAACCAGUUGGACAGCACGAAUCAUGGCAAUUUGUGUCAUUCCUUUCGCCAUUGCACUUUUCCCAAAAAUGUUGAGAAUCCAGCCCGGGCAUCGCCUGCCCAUCUUGUUGGCUGCCAUUGUAUCAUUCUUGCUUGCACUAUCCUACUGCUUGUUUCAGGUACAUCCAUUCCAUCUGAUGUUGUUUGCAUUUUUAAAUAAUGAUGGCCAGAUUGGCACGUCUUCCUCCCCUGGAUCCAGCGGAGGCGACUUGCAUUUGCAAAACACAGGCAUAUUGUUCUACGAGAUUGACAAUGAUGAUAGUCGCAACCUGUCACGAGCCGAGUUGCAUGCCCUUAUCAUUGGAAUCAACUUUGAGGAGAUUGACUUUGACAAGAAUGAUGUUGUGGACAAAAUCAUGGAUGACUUCGACACAUCAGGCAAUGGCACAAUAGAUGAGGGAGAGUUCAUUGUGGGAAUGAAGAUAUGGCUCAAUGAGGCCAAGAGAAAGGUGGAGGCUACGGGUGCCUACACUAACAAGUUCAUCAACGACUACCAUGAGGUAUCCUUUGGAUUCUCUGGAUAG
rnacentral:rRNA from 1 species